GUAAACGAGGAUCGGCGACCGGAUUUGAAGAGAGCACUUUUUCGGCUACAGUUUGUAUGGACUGUUUAUCGAAUUCCAAGCUUUAUGAAGGAGAUAUUGGCAGUUGAAGUCAGCGCUUGAUAUCUAAGGGUAGUAAGUAGCCCGAAUUACUUGUGCUUGUGAUUUGAGCUAUAUCUUAGACAAUUUGAUGAGGUUUUAGCUCAAAAUUUUCAAGAUUGAGUGCAAUCUUGUUAUAAAGCUUUCUAUACAAGUUUUGUGUGAUUUGGAGCUUGGGUUUAAGAGAUAUAAGGAAAAUAGUUUUCGGGUGCUU
rnacentral:lncRNA from 1 species